UUACGAUCUGCAGAGGUCUCCCUAUGUUGACUUUUUUUUUUAGGGCGUCCUUUUUAAUUACACUGCAAGGACUCUGAUUUCCACCUCCCUGUCUGCUGCUGGAGGGAGUUGAGAGCAACGCGCCAGGGCUGCGGCAGCCGCUCCGGCCAACUCCGGCGCUCGGGGGCGGGCAGCCCACUCCCCUCGGGUCCCACCCUCUCCAGCACACGCGCGCACACCCGCGUGGAGACGGCUGUCCUCGCCCGUCUGCCCCGCGCCCCAGCUGGGACUCACCGUUGUCCAACCGCGCGAUCUGGGGCAGCCGGUUAAAUGAAUUCUUAUUCCACAACUAUCUAGAAGUAAAAAUUACUAUAAAUUGAAUGAUGAAAACUUCAGGUCAUUCCUUUCAAAGUCGUUUCCAGUGUUGCAGGGAGAAAAAACGCAACCCACAGCCACAACAAUAAAUGAGAAGUGAUAAUGGAAAUUUUGGCCUUUUCUUCUGAAAUCAUGCAAAAUAUGCAACGAAGACACCCUGGCCUGGGCUUCCCCCAGCAGCAGAGCCUGAGACAAGGUUUAUGCAAACAUCAAAUGUAGCAUCCCACAUGGCAGCAGCAGAAAGGCACUGGGGUAGAAGAUGAGUGAUAAUGAGGUUAUCCCGGAAUGCAGUUGGUUGGCUGGCAUGCAAAGCAGAAUGAACAUGAUGGCCGAGGGAGGCUUCACCUGUACCAGUGUUUGGAAUGUCCCGUUCUGUGUCGUCCUGGAAGUUUUUACACCAUAAUUCAGUUCACAGUGUGUGAGAGGUUGGUUUCCAACUCCUGGCCUCAAGUGAUCCUCCUGCCUCAGCCUCCAAAGCGUUAUGAUUGCAGACAUGAGCCACUGUGCCCAGCUGAGGUUAUUUUCUAUGUAAAUCUUGAUGUUCUGGAAUUGGUGAGUGAAUAAAAGCUGGUGUCCUUGUCUGCAUGUUUAACAGUA